rnacentral:rRNA from 1 species
GACGAACGCUGGCGGCGUGCUUAACACAUGCAAGUCGAACGGAAAGGCCCUGCUUUUGUGGGGUGCUCGAGUGGCGAACGGGUGAGUAACACGUGAGUAACCUGCCCUUGACUUUGGGAUAACUUCAGGAAACUGGGGCUAAUACCGGAUAGGAGCUCCUGCUGCAUGGUGGGGGUUGGAAAGUUUCGGCGGUUGGGGAUGGACUCGCGGCUUAUCAGCUUGUUGGUGGGGUAGUGGCUUACCAAGGCUUUGACGGGUAGCCGGCCUGAGAGGGUGACCGGCCACAUUGGGACUGAGAUACGGCCCAGACUCCUACGGGAGGCAGCAGUGGGGAAUAUUGCAAAAUGGGCGGAAGCCGGAUGCAGCAACGCCGCGUGCGGGAUGACGGCCUUAGGGUUGUAAACCGCUUUCGCCUGUGACGAAGCGUGAGUGACGGUAAUGGGUAAAGAAGCACCGGCUAACUACGUG